rnacentral:rRNA from 1 species
UACGAAGGGGGCUAGCGUUGCUCGGAAUCACUGGGCGUAAAGGGUGCGUAGGCGGGUUUUUAAGUCAGAGGUGAAAUCCUGGAGCUCAACUCCAGAACUGCCUUUGAUACUGAAAGUCUUGAGUAUGGGAGAGGUGAGUGGAACUGCGAGUGUAGAGGUGAAAUUCGGAGAUAUUCGCAAGAACACCAGUGGCGAAGGCGGCUCACUGACCCAUUACUGACGCUGAGGCACGAAAGCGUGGGGAGCAAACAGG